rnacentral:rRNA from 1 species
UACGGGGGGAGCAAGCGUUGUUCGGAUUUACUGGGCGUAAAGGGCGCGUAGGCGGCGUGACAAGUCACUUGUGAAAUCUCCGGGCUUAACUCGGAACGGUCAAGUGAUACUGUCGUGCUAGAGUACAGAAGGGGCAACUGGAAUUCUCGGUGUAGCGGUGAAAUGCGUAGAGAUCCGGAAGAACACCGGUGGCGAAGGCGGCCUGCUGGGCAGUAGCUGACGCUGAGGCGCGACAGCGUGGGGAGCAAACAGG